GGCUUAAUAAGUCAGCGGUGAAAGUUUUUGGCUUAACCAAAAAAUUGCCAUUGAUACUGUUAGGCUUGAAUUUUUGUGAAGUAACUAGAAUAUGUAGUGUAGCGGUGAAAUGCUUAGAUAUUACAUGGAAUACCAAUUGCGAAGGCAGGUUACUAACAAACGAUUGACGCUGAUGGACGAAAGCGUGGGUAGCGAACAGGAUUAGAUACCCUGGUAGUCCACGCCGUAAACGAUGGAUACUAGCUGUUUGGUAGCAAUACUGAGUGGCUAAGCGAAAGUGAUAAGUAUCCCACCUGGGGAGUACGAACGCAAGUUUGAAACUCAAAGGAAUUGACGGGGGCCCGCACAAGCGGUGGAGCAUGUGGUUUAAUUCGAUGAUACGCGAGGAACCUUACCAGGGCUUAAAUGUGUUUUGACGGAUUUGGAAACAGAUCUUUCGCAAGACAAAAUACAAGGUGCUGCAUGGUUGUCGUCAGCUCGUGCCGUGAGGUGUCAGGUUAAGUCCUAUAACGAGCGCAACCCCUGUUGUUAGUUGCCAGCGAGUGAUGUCGGGAGCUCCAACAAGACUGCCAGUGUAAACUGUGAGGAAGGUGGGGAUGACGUCAAAUCAUCACGGCCCUUACGUCCUGGGCCACACACGUGCUACAAUGGACGGUACAGAGAGCAGCUACCAGGUGACUGGAUGCGAAUCUAUAAAACCGUUCUCAGUUCGGAUCGGAGUCUGCAACUCGACUCCGUGAAGCUGGAAUCGCUAGCAAUCGG
rnacentral:rRNA from 1 species